CCAGCCCAUCCCUGACCUGAGCUCUGUGAGCUGAUUCCACCAGUGACUGAGCACAGACCACCACCAUGGAGCUGGGGCUGCGCUGGGUUCUCCUUGUUGCUCUGUUGAAAGGUGUGCAGUGUGAGGUGCAGCUGGUGGAGUCUGGGGGAGGCUUGGUGCAGCCUGGGGGGUCCCUGAGACUCUCCUGUGCAGCCUCCGGAUUCACCUUCAGUGAUUACUACAUGCACUGGCUCCGCCAGGCUCCAGGGAAGAGGCCUGAGUGGCUUGGAGAAAUUAAUGAAGGUGGUAGUAGCACAUACUACGCAGACUCCGUGAAGGGCCGCUUCACCAUCUCCAGAGACAACAGCAAGAACACACUUUACCUGCAGAUGAACAGCCUGAGAGUGGAGGACACGGCCGUCUAUUACUGUGCUACAGACACAGGGGAAUACUACAAUUCCACCCCAGAGCUGGCUAUAUACCAAGAGAACAUGCAAAUGGGGCCUCCCUCUGCUCAUGAAAAGCUGCAGCUCUGCAGGUGUGCAAUGCCAGGGAAGGGGCUGGAGUGGAUUUCAUCCAUUUAUGGUAGUAGUAACAUACAGUACACAGGCUCCGUGAAGGGCCGCUUCACCAUCUCCAAAGACAACAGCAAGAACACACUUUACCUGCAGAUGAACAGCCUGAGAGUGGAGGACUGGGCCGUCUAUUACUGUGCUACAGACACAGUGCAGGAAAUCCAGACACAAACCUCCCUGCAGGGCGCUCAGCACCUGCAGGGGGCGCUGGGCACACACUGA